CUGUUUAUUUGGAUUAAUAAAUCCGAAGAGUGGCGUUAGCUGAACUACCCGAGGGAAAAGUGCAAAUAAAGUGAAAUUCUUGAAAGAAGCAAAGGGAUAGGAGUACUGGAAAAUCUUAAUACAGCCAAGCCGGCCAACCAAUCUACGGUAUCAACUACUAAAACAACAAAGCUGACCGUUUGGGAGUUAGUGCAGUGCACAUCCACGGCGGCAAAGUAAAGGCUGAACCGUUGACGUUGGGCUAGCUCAAUAUCGGAAAUCAUUUACGGCUCGUGAAA